CCUAAAGAAACCCUCUAAUUAGUAGAACCCAGCCAGACAAUCAGUGACAUCAUUCAGACAUUUAAGCAGGAAGUACUGGGCCGGCCCCUCCCAUACUCCUGCCCUGCUGCAGAUCUACAAGGGACAAACAAUGGUGGAUGCGCUCAGCCGGAUGCUGUCUCCGGUCUCCAUGAGAACAGCUGCAUCACUCUGCAGGUGUGUCACUCUACAUCUGCUCAGAGGAUUCAGCAGCCUAAAGCAAUGCAGCGUUAUACACAGAACAAGUGGCCUCUGACCCACACCCACCCAUCUACAUCAAAGCAGUGACGGUGGAGCGUGAGAACAGCUUCAAGUUCCUGGGAGUCCACAUCUCUGAGGACCUCACCUCAACGACCGGCUGCUCCAAGCUGGUCAAGAAGGCUCACCAGAGGACUUUGGGGAAAAAAACGCCUGUCCUCAGAUAUCCUGGUGAACUUCUACCACUGCACCAUCAAAAGCAUCCUGA